UACGUAGGGUGCUAGCGUUGUUCGGAAUCAUUGGGCGUAAAGCGCGUGCAGGUGGCAAGUUAAGUUGGAUGUGAAAUCCCUAGGCUCAACCAAGGAAGUGCAUUCAAAACUGGCUAGCUUGAAGAUGGUAGAGGAAGGUGGAAUUCCAGGUGGAGAGGUGAAAUUCGUAGAUAUCUGGAGGAAUAUCGGAGGCGAAGGCGACCUUCUGGGCCAUUCUUGACACUGAGACGCGAAAGCGUGGGUAGCAAACAGG
rnacentral:rRNA from 1 species